ensembl:lncRNA uncharacterized LOC114443450
AAUAGAAGAGGGACGAAAUGGCUACAACAAACAUGGAGGUUUGUCCGUUCAGCUUCACCCCGGAGAGGUACUGGACGGAGGAGAAAGAGAGGGCACUCAUAUCGUUUUUCUCCAAGCACAGUUGUCUGUGGAACCACAAGUCAGAGAGCUACAAGAACAGACAGCUACGAUGGAAAACACUGGAACGCUUGAGAAUCCUUCUGUCAGCUCACCCACCUCCUGUUCCUUUCACAGUGGAAGACAUCAAGAACAAAUUCAAGAACCUGCGGACCACCUUUCAGCGUCAGUACAAAAUGGUCAAAGCGAGCAAAGUGUGCAAUUCUGAUGACGUGUUCGUGCCGCAGUGGAAGCAUUACCAGCAGCUGAUGUUCCUGCAGGGCUGCUGCGACCAGGACGACAGUGCCGAUGGCCCUCCGCUGUCUCCAUUGAUUGUUUCACAGGAGGAGAGCCAGUCUGUCCUCCCCUCCUCAGGACUGAUCAUCUCCUUCCUCCCCACACCAUCCACCUCAACAACCUCCACCACGUCCUCCUCAGUCCCCUCCAGCAUCCUGGUUAAAUGUUACUGGACUGAAGAGAGGGAGCGUGCACUGAUAUCUUUCUAUGCCGAGCACAGCUGUUUAUGGAGCAAGAAGUCUGAAAACCACAACAACCGUCAACUCAGAAUGAGGCUGCUGGAGGCGCUGAGGAGCCAGCUGUCUGACCACACGGUGUCUUUCUCAGUUGAAGACAUAAAGUGCAAAUUCAAGAACCUGCGAACAGUUUUUAACCGUGAAUACAAGGCGGUCCAGGCCAGCAGGAGCUCUGACAAACCCUACACGUCUAAGUGGAAACACUACCAGCAGCUGCUCUUUAUCUGCGAGUCCUGUGAUGAAGACGACGGCACAGACGAUGUGCAGAUUAUCAUUCCACAAGAAAACAAGGAUCUGGAACAUGUGAACCAGACUCUGUCUUCCACUCUGAGCAACCUUUCUAGACCACCCAACAGCACCAAGCUCUCCAACACCUCUGUUCCCUGCAGCUCCAGUCAGAGCGACACCAAAACCAGCAGUAGCACUGUGUACCAAAUCUUCCUUUCUGAUAAUCACGUGCUGUCUGGCCAAACAGCCAUUUCCACACUGCCGGCCUCACCAUCCAGUUCACUGCCAGACACAAAAUCAAGUGCCAAUCCCUCCCCUUUAAACGUCUCCGCAACUGGUUCAGUUCAGUCAGACAGCAGGCUAAGCACAGACUCCCGCUGCCUUUGGAAUGAAGCCAAAGUUCAGCAGCUCAUAUCAUUUUACUCUGAGCACACCUGUCUGUGGAACCACAAGUCCGAGGGUUACCGGAACCGUCUGCUGAGACAGAGCUUGUUGGAGACUCUGAGCAACCUCCUGUCACCCAAUGAGCCAGUCCCAUUCACAGUGGAGGACAUAAAGACAAAGUUCAGGAACUUGCGAACCAUCUUCCAACGUGAGCACAAAGCGGUGAGCUCCAACAAAACCUGUGGUUCAGAGGACUUCUACCUCCCAAAGUGGAAACACUACAGGGAGCUGAUGUUCCUCUGCGACUCCUGCGACGAGGAUGAGCCUGAUGACGUCCACUUCCAUGAACCACAGGAGUCCAGCCUCCUCCACCUGGACAGCCAAAGCCCUCUCUCUUCCUCUCUGCACUACCGUGCUGCCAACCAAACUGCUACCAAACUGAACAUCAGAUCGCGUUUCCUCGAGGCCCCGCCCUCACCUACUCCCCCAGACUCCCAGCACUCUUCCCCCUCCUCGUCCCCUUCCACAUCAUCUUCUCUCACAGACGGCAGACUGUCCGGGCGCAAGAGGGCUGGCGGCCGGGCGGCGUCCACCACCAGCGAGGUGCUGGACUUAAUGAGGACGCUCUGUAAAAACCAAACAGAGUCACCUCAUGCAGGGUUCCUGAAGUACAUAGAGGAGUGUUUGAAUGAGACGCCACAGGACAAGGUGAAGAAACUGAAGAAGAAAAUAAUAGAGACGAUCCAUACCAUGGCAGAGGAUGUUUAGUGUGCGGCGUAUUGAUUUUCUCCAGUCUGCAUCAUUCACUUUAUAUAGACCCCUGUGCUCUAUUAGUCCAAUACACAUGAUGUUUUUACUGUAAUUAUCCCUCCUGUUUUCAGAACAGCUUCAGAUGGGCUUUUGGUCGAAACAAAAGCCAGACCCAGAUGUGUGCUGUCAGAUCACAGAACUGCACUUUUUCAGCCUUUGCUAGGCUUCGACUUUGAUAUGAGGGGUCAUGGUAACAUUAGAUGCUAGUGAACAUUGACAGACCUCUAAAAUAUAUGUAACAUUUGUACAUAGUUUAAAAAUUGUUGUAAAAAGAAAUCCUGUAUCGUAUGAAUAUAACAAGCUGCAGAUAACUAAUUUGCCAAAGGUUGCACCUUAAAGACAUCCUGUCAAUUUGGGAUGUAUUUUUAAACACUAAAAUAUAAAAAAACCUGACAAUAGUUGUUGCCAAAGCACCGUCCAAAGCCUUCACAAAACAACAUGAGACUAGUAAGGACAGUCGUUUACAGGUGGCUUCUGUAAACUUUUUAUACUUUUUAAGGACAAAUCUGUCAGAGAAUUCAGCCACAGUCUCUGUGCUACAUUUGAAAGAAUAAAAGGAUGUCACAACUUGUAAAGAAAGGACA